AUACUUACCUGGACGGGGUCGAUGAGUGAUCAUAAAGGCCCAUGGCCUAGGCAAGCUGCCUCCAUUGCACUGAGGAGGGGUGCUUGCCUAAGGUCUCCCCGAGCGGGAGAGCUUACGUCAUAAUUUGUGGUAGUGGGGCUUGCGUACGUAAUAAUUCUGU
rfam:Theobroma cacao cultivar Matina 1-6 chromosome 5, whole genome shotgun sequence.